UGAGUAACCUGCCCUUCACUCUGGGAUAACUCCGGGAAACCGGGGCUAAUACUGGAUAUGACUCGAACAGGCAUCUGUUUCGGGUGGAAAGAUUUAUUGGUGGAGGAUGGACCGUGGCCUAUCAGCUUGUUGGUGAGGUAACGGCUCACCAAGGCGACGACGGGUAGCCGGCCUGAGAGGGUGACCGGCCACACUGGGACUGAGACACGGCCCAGACUCCUACGGGGAGCA
rnacentral:rRNA from 1 species